rnacentral:rRNA from 1 species
ACGGAAGGCAGCAGUGGGGAAUAUUGGGCAAUGGGGGAAACCCUGACCCAGCAACGCCGCGUGAAGGAAGAAGGCCUUCGGGUUGUAAACUUCUUUUACCAGGGACGAAGAAUGACGGUACCUGGGGAAAAAGCAACGGCUAACUACGUGACAGCAGCCGCGGUAAUACGUAGGUUGCAAGCGUUGUCCGGAUUUACUGGGUGUAAAGGGCGUGUAGGCGGAGCUGCAAGUCAGAUGUGAAAUCCCGGGGCUCAACCCCGGAACUGCAGUUGAAGCUGUAGCCCUUGAGUAUCGGAGAGGCAAGCGGAAUUCCUAGUGUAGCGGUGAAAUGCGUAGAUAUUAGGAGGAACACCAGUGGCGAAGGCAGCUUGCUGGACGACAACUGACGCUGAGGCGCGAAAGCGCGGGGAGCAAACAGGAUUAGAUACCCUGGUA